rnacentral:rRNA from 1 species
GAUGAACGCUGGCGGUGUGCCUAAUACAUGCAAGUCGUACGCAUUCUCGUAAUUGAUUGACGGUGCUUGCACUAGAUUGAAAUUACAUUUGAAUGAGUGGCGGACGGGUGAGUAACACGUGGGUAACCUGCCCAGAAGUGGGGGAUAACAUUUGGAAACAGAUGCUAAUACCGCAUAAUAGAUGAAACCACAUGGUUUCAUUUUGAAAGAUGGCCUUUGUGCUAUCACUUCUGGAUGGACCCGCGGUGUAUUAGCUAGUUGGUGAGGUAAAGGCUCACCAAGGCAAUGAUACAUAGCCGAACUGAGAGGUUGAUCGGCCACAAUGGGACUGAGACACGGCCCAUACUCCUACGGGAGGCAGCAGUAGGGAAUCUUCCACAAUGGGCGCAAGCCUGAUGGAGCAACACCGCGUGAGUGAAGAAGGGUUUCGGCUCGUAAAACUCUGUUGUUGAAGAAGAACGUAUCUAAGAGUAACUGCUUAGGUAGUGACGGUAUUCAACCAGAAAGCCACGGCUAACUACGUGCCAGCCGCCGCGU